CAGAACAGUGCCUGGGAAAGUUUGGGGGAAAGAAAACAGAGAAACAAAGGCAUCCGAAGAUUGAGGAACCCGGUCAUGGUCCUAUGGCACAUAGUCACAGGCAUUCUUGAAAUGUUU